rnacentral:rRNA from 1 species
UACGGGGGGGGCAAGCGUUGUUCGGAAUUACUGGGCGUAAAGGGCGCGUAGGCGGCCCUCUAAGUCAGACGUGAAAUCCCUCGGCUCAACCGGGGAACUGCGUCUGAUACUGGAUGGCUUGAGAUUGGGAGAGGGAUGCGGAAUUCCAGGUGUAGCGGUGAAAUGCGUAGAUAUCUGGAGGAACACCGGUGGCGAAGGCGGCAUCCUGGACCAACACUGACACUGAGGAGCGAAAGCCAGGGGAGCAAACGGG